UAGGUUUCCAAAAAUUAGGGAAUCAAAGUAUAGAUUUUUAAAUACUCCAAGAGUACCUUUAAAUGAUCCCAUUAUUUCACAAAAUAUGAAUUCUAUUGCAGCAGAUAAGGCCUAAAUUUACCUAUUGUUGAUGUUAGCGAAGUUUUUCUUAAUCAGCAUUUGCCUGUAUUUUUAUAGUGUUGUAGAAGGGUAUCACACUAGGCUAUGGUUGUUCAUGCCUUUCCUAUUCUUUGCAGGCAUAUGGUCAACAGGAUAAUG
rnacentral:misc_RNA from 1 species